rnacentral:rRNA from 1 species
GACGAACGCUGGCGGCGUGCUUAACACAUGCAAGUCGAACGGAAAGGCCCUGCUUUUGUGGGGUGCUCGAGUGGCGAACGGGUGAGUAACACGUGAGUAACCUGCCCUUGACUUUGGGAUAACUUCAGGAAACUGGGGCUAAUACCGGAUAGGAGCUCCUGCUGCAUGGUGGGGGUUGGAAAGCUUCGGCGGUUGGGGAUGGACUCGCGGCUUAUCAGCUUGUUGGUGGGGUAGUGGCUUACCAAGGCUUUGACGGGUAGCCGGCCUGAGAGGGUGACCGGCCACAUUGGGACUGAGAGACGGCCCAGACUCCUACGGGAGGCAGCAGUGGGGAAUAUUGCACAAUGGGCGGAAGCCUGAUGCAGCAACGCCGCGUGCGGGAUGACGGCCUUCGGGGUGUAAACCGCUUUCGCCUGUGACGAAGCGUGAGUGACGGUAAUGGGUAAAGAAGCACCGGCUAACUACGUG